UUCUAUAUUUAUACAUAAUUGUAGCAAAACUAAGGAUGUAGCUGAGGGGCUUUUCAAGCAUCAAGGAGCAGCACAAACGGGUUCUGCAAUGUCUGUAAAACCAAAUAUUCAAACAAUUACUAUGCCAACAGUUAAGCACGAAAGGUAAACGCAUAAGCUUAGUCGGAGAGUAUUAAUAGCGUCGAUUGUAGUAUAAUCAGAUCUUGCACAACAGCGAAUCGGACUUGCAUAUGAAGCUUCACUCUUCAAAGUAGUUCUAGAAGAUCAUGAAUUUUCGCAAGACAGCCAAAAAGUUUCGAGGUAGAAAGAUAAUAAAUCCAUUUUGCAACAAGCAACAGGGUGUAAACCUGCCAUAACUGUUGCAUUGGAGUUGGGAGUUUCAUCAUCUAAGAUCUUUGGCAUUCUAAAGUUCUAUCUCUCAGUUCUAAAUCGAUUCGACAUUCAUGACAUAUGCAGGUUAGGUACGAAAGCAGGAACACACAAGAAAUAAUCCGUAAAAUCUCGAAGAAAGUUUUAAUCUUCCGGGACAGAUUGGCCAUACCUCCAAAUAAUCUUCAGCUGGUUGAGGUUGGACAGGCAUUGUUUGAUGGAGGAACAGUCGGAGUAGAAGCAGAGUCCGCAUUUCUUUGGUUUGUAUCACUUUCCAAAUUCGGUUGUGAAAUACACGGUAAUGUGUUGUUCUCAUCAACCCCAUGAUCAUACAGCAACCCCCUG
rnacentral:lncRNA from 1 species